rnacentral:ncRNA from 1 species
AUGACUUAUCCAUUCCUUUUUUUUGUAUUAAUUGAUAUAUUCUUUUUAUUUCAAUAUCUCUCACCAUACCCAUUCCAACACAUAUUAAAAAUACUAUUUUUGAAAGCAGAAAAAAUAUCAACAUAUCUAAUCAAUGUAUUAAAAAGUUUUUAAAAGCCUACCAUGGUGACCACGGGUGACGGGGAAUCAGGGUUCGAUUCCGGAGAGGGAGCCUGAGAACUGCUACCACAUCCAAGGAAGGCAGCAGGCGCGCAAAUUACCCACUCCCGACCUUUGGUGACUCUAGAUA